GACGAACGCUGGCGGCGUGCCUAACACAUGCAAGUCGAGCGAAUGAAGUUCCUUCGGGAAUGGAUUUAGCGGCGGACGGGUGAGUAACACGUGGGCAACCUGCCUCAUAGAGGGGAAUAGCCUUCCGAAAGGGAGAUUAAUACCGCAUAAGAUUGUAGUACCGCAUGAUACAGCAAUUAAAGGAGCAAUCCGCUAUGAGAUGGGCCCGCGGCGCAUUAGCUAGUUGGUGAGGUAACGGCCCACCAAGGCGACGAUGCGUAGCCGACCUGAGAGGGUGAUCGGCCACAUUGGGACUGAGACACGGCCCAGACUCCUACGGGAGGCAGCAGUGGGGAAUAUUGCACAAUGGGGGAAACCCUGAUGCAGCAACGCCGCGUGAGUGAUGACGGCCUUCGGGUUGUAAAGCUCUGUCUUCAGGGACGAUAAUGACGGUACCUGAGGAGGAGGCCACGGCUAACUACGUGCCAGCAGCCGCAGUAACAC
rnacentral:rRNA from 1 species